rnacentral:rRNA from 1 species
UUGGACGGGGCCCGCACAAGCGGUGGAGCAUGUGGUUUAAUUCGAAGCAACGCGAAGAACCUUACCAGGCCUUUGACAUGCAGAGAACUUUCCAGAGAUGGAUUGGUGCCUUUCGGGAACUCUGACACAGGUGCUGCAUGGCUGUCGUCAGCUCGUGUCGUGGGAUGUUGGGUUAAGUCCCGCAACGAGCGCAACCCUUGUGUUUUAGUUGCAAACAGGUCAAGCUGUGCACUCUAGACAGACUGCCGUGGACAACACGGAGGAAGGUGGGGAUGACGUCAAAUCAUCAUGCCCCUUAUGAUCUGGGCUACACACGUGCUACAAUGGCCGGUACAACGGGCAGCGAAGGAGCGAUCCGGAGCGAAUCCUAAAAAGCCGGUCCCAGUUCGGAUUGCAGGCUGAAACUCGCCUACAUGAAGUUGGAGUUGCUAGUAAUCGCGAAUCAGAAUGUCGCGGUGAAUGCGUUCCCGGGUCUU